UGCUCAAAGCAUGUGAAGUAUGGGGAAGAAAAUUAAAGUGCUGUGUGCAAACCCAGGAGAUGCAGGCAGCUGCAGGGGGAAAGAAUGUAAGGUGAAAAUAUAAAUUGCAAGGUCAGGAAUGUGUGAGGCUCUUGUCUUUGAGACUAUGAGGACAGAGUUUCCCCAGUCCUGAUGAACCUCUCUGUGUAAGUUAUUCUCCAUAUAACUUUUAGUAAGUAUAACACGCUCCUUUGCAAGGGAAAUAACUUCUUUAAUUUCAGUGUCUUUUGAUAUGGAUGGGCUUCUUUUCCCCUCUACACCUGGGAAAGUCAGAAUGACAGGAGUGUUGUUUUUUACUAGGAGGAAUUAGGAUGGAGGGCAGAUGGAAAUUCUGUGAUUUGGAAUUGGUUUCUUGAUGCUGAUGGAGAAGAAAAGCAGGGACUUGGUGAAAGAUGCUGCAGUACUGAUAAGAAUGUUUACUUGGAGAGAAGGACCAGAGGAAUCAAUCAAGAAAAAUGACGAAGAGGUCUUGGGUGGCAGUUGCAUUAAAGUAACUGAUCCUAAAGAGCCCGCAAUGAGGACUUUUCUGCCCAAUUACAAGAUGCCACCCAAACCCAUGAAGAAGAAGGAAGAAGAAGCAUGAAGAGGAAACCCAGGACAACACCCUGUGCCCUCCAUCUUGCUUCCAUCCACAACACGCUAAAAAUCCCAAAAUCUAAAUUUCUCACCAACUGAUACACCUACACUACUCUCUAUAAUCUAUUUCACACUUUUGUGGAUUCUAGUCUAUCUUGAAGUCUAGGAAACUUUCUCCAUGAAUGAGGGUCAAAGUCAGUGCUCCCCUGGGGCUCAGGGCAUCCCAGAGCAGACAGAGAAAUAUUCCUGGUACCCUGGGUUUCCACAGUAUUUGUUUGCAGAUUCAUACUGAACUAACUUUUUCAUUACACUAGGGACUGAGAGGACAUUGUUCUAGGCACUUUGUGGACAAUGAAAGACCCUCUUUGCCCCCAGAAAUUUAUUUCUGUGCUUUGACUUUCAGUGUUAUUUAAGCUGAUGUGGCCUUAAAUGUCCAGUUUCCAGCAUAUUAAAAAGAAUAAAUUGGUAGCUGGUGUAUUGAAUGUAGUGUGUGGAGUUUAAAUUUUCCAGAUCCAAGCCAGAUGUCCUUUGCAUAUCUUAACCCCAAACAACCAAAACAAACAAACCAAAGCCCAAAAAACAA